rnacentral:rRNA from 1 species
UACGUAGGGGGCAAGCGUUGUCCGGAAUCAUUGGGCGUAAAGAGCGUGUAGGCGGCUCGGUAAGUCCGCUGUGAAAGUCCAGGGCUCAACCCUGGAAUGCCGGUGGAAACUGUCGAGCUCGAGUCCGGAAGAGGCGAGUGGAAUCCUGGUGUAGCGGUGAAAUGCGCAGAUAUCAGGAGGAACACCAGUGGCGAAGGCGGCACUCUGGGCCAGUACUGACACUGAGGAGCGAAAGCGUGGGGAGCGAACAG